CAAUAGCGUAUAUUAAAGUUGUUGCGGUUAAAAAGCUCGUAGUUGGAUUUCUGUUGGGAACGACCGGUCCGCCCAUUGGGUGUGUAUCUGGCUUGUUCUCGGCAUCUUCUUGGUGAACGUUGCUGCACUUGACUGUGUGGAGCGCUACCCAGGACUUUUACUUUGAGGAAAUUAGAGUGUUUCAAGCAGGCAUAUGCCUUGAAUACAUUAGCAUGGAAUAAUAAGAUAGGACCUCGGUUCUAUUUUGUUGGUUUCUAGAGCUGAGGUAAUGAUUAAUAGGGAUAGUUGGGGGCAUUCGUAUUUAACUGUCAGAGGUGAAAUUCUUGGAUCUGUUAAAGACGGACUACUGCGAAAGCAUUUGCCAAGGAUGUUUUCAUUGA
rnacentral:rRNA from 1 species